rnacentral:snRNA from 1 species
CUAUUUAGAAAAGUAAAGUAACUAAGAUUGAGACAUAGAGAGAAGAUUAGUACGUUCCGUGCGCAAGGAAGUCAUCCAAAAUCGAGAAGCUUUCCGAUUAUUU